rnacentral:rRNA from 1 species
UGGAUGAUGUGGAUUAAUUCGAUGCAACGCGAAAACCUUACCCACCUUUGACAUGUACGGAAUCCUUUAGAGAUAGAGGAGUGCUCGAAAGAGAGCCGUAACACAGGUGCUGCAUGGCUGUCGUCAGCUCGUGUCGUGAGAUGUUGGGUUAAGUCCCGCAACGAGCGCAACCCUUGCCAUUAGUUGCUACGAAAGGGCACUCUAAUGGGACUGCCGGUGACAAACCGGAGGAAGGUGGGGAUGACGUCAAGUCCUCAUGGCCCUUAUAGGUGGGGCUACACACGUCAUACAAUGGCUGGUACAGAGGGUUGCCAACCCGCGAGGGGGAGCCAAUCCCAUAAAGCCAGUCGUAGUCCGGAUCGCAGUCUGCAACUCGACUGCGUGAAGUCGGAAUCGCUAGUAAUCGCGGAUCAGAAUGUCGCGGUGAAUACGUUCCCGGGUCUU